UACGUAGGGCGCAAGCGUUAUCCGGAAUUAUUGGGCGUAAAGAGCUCGUAGGCGGUUUGUCGCGUCUGCCGUGAAAGUCCAGGGCUCAACCCUGGGAUGCCGGUCGAUACUGGUGGACUAGAGUCCGGAAGAGGCGAGUGGAAUUCCCGGUGUAGUGGUGAAAUGCGUAGAUAUCGGGAGGAACACCAGUGGCGAAGGCGACUACCUGGCCUGUUCUUGACGCUGAGGCGCGAAAGCUAGGGGAGCAAACGGG
rnacentral:rRNA from 1 species